AAACCAACAGGGAUUGCCUUAGUAACGGCGAGUGAAGCGGCAAGAGCUCAAAUUUGAAAUCUGGUAGCCCUCGGCUGCCCGAGUUGUAAUUUGAAGAUCUAUUUUUUAGCUUGGGGCCUUGUCUAUGUUCCUUGGAACAGGACGUCAUAGAGGGUGAGAAUCCCGUGUGAUGGGGCUUGUUUGCUUUGUAAAUUUGGAUCGACGAGUCGAGUUGUUUGGGAAUGCAGCUCUAAGUGGGUGGUAAAUUCCAUCUAAAGCUAAAUAUUGGCGAGAGACCGAUAGCGAACAAGUACAGUGAUGGAAAGAUGAAAAGAACUUUGAAAAGAGAGUGAAAAAGUACGUGAAAUUGUUAAAAAGGAAGGUUAUUAGAUCAGACUUGGGCUGGCGGUUGUAUACUUAGCCACUUGUUGGCUAUUCACUACGGCGCUGCCUGGGCCAGCAUCGAUUCUGCGGGGCGUACAAAGGCGAUUGGGAAUGUGGCUGUUUUGAAUUUCAGGCAGUGUUUAUAGCCCAUUGCUUCUGCGGCCAUGCUGGGAUCGAGGAAUGCGUCAAUUUAUUUGACUAGGAUGCUGGCGUAAUGAUCUAAUAUCGCCC
rnacentral:rRNA from 2 species